UUGUACUGUGUGGUAAUCCCAGGGAAAGAUGAUUCAGCAAAUUAAUUUCAAAGUGAUUAUAAUGUAACUCUUCUAAAAAUGUUGCUUUUUUUUUUUUUUUUUUUUUUUUUUUUUUUUUACAGUGGUAGUAGCUGGGAAUUCAGGUCUUCUUCUAUCCUUCCCUUGAUGGCUCUGGAGUCUGUAAUGCUCCUCUGGUUGUCUUCACUGAUGGAUGGAUCUUCACACCAAGAUUUGGGAGAUUUACACAAUGUGAUGAGAACACAGUAUAAUCUUUAUAGUGCUUCUCUUCUAAGGACUUCUAAAAAACCCCACUUCCUGCUGCACAGUAGCUGGCCAUCCUGUGAUGCUAAUACCUGGAUCAUCUAAGCAUCCUCUCAGCCUCACUUGUCACUGUCUUCCGCCAAACUCACAGCAGCAGUGAAGCGACUGCCA
rnacentral:lncRNA from 10 species